CCAAGGAGUCUAACGUGCACGCGAGUCAAUGGGCUGUACGAAACCUAAAGGCGAAGUGAAAGCAAAGGUCUCCUUCGGACGACCUAGGUGGGAUCCGGAUUCUAGCAAAGAUGAAGGCGCACCACCGGCCCGUCUCGUCCGUUCAUUUAGUUCGGUGGGGCGGAGCUAGAGCGUGUACGCUGGGACCCGAAAGAUGGUGAACUAUGCCUGAGUAGAAUGAAGCCAGAGGAAACUCUGGUGGAAGUCCGUAGCGAUUCUGACGUGCAAAUCGAUCGUCAAACUAUGGGUAUCGGGGCGAAAGACUAAUCGAACCAUCUA
rnacentral:rRNA from 1 species